AACCCCUACGCGUAAUGAAAGUGAACGCAGGUGAGAGCUUCGGCGCAUCAUCGACCGAUCCUGAUGUUCUCGGAUGGAUUUGAGUAAGAGCAUACGGGGCCGGACCCGAAAGAAGGUGAACUAUGCCUGUAUAGGGUGAAGCCAGAGGAAACUCUGGUGGAGGCUCGCAGCGGUUCUGACGUGCGAAUCGAUCGUCAAAUAUGG
rnacentral:rRNA from 1 species